AUGACGGUGUAUUUUGGAAUGCUCGACGGCUUGCUGGCUGCAGAAGGGCUUCCUGAGGAAUACCAGAACCGAUGCCAGAUAUACUUUGUAACGACUGCGGAAGAAAAGGGCUUUCUCGGUUCCACUGGCUGUAUCAUAAAUGCCCCGCCUGUGGCUUGUACAACACCAGAGUUAUCAAGACCGAGGCACCAAAUUGUUCCAUGUAGAAUUAACAGGUCCGCCGAUGAGGAUGUGGAUGAGGACGAGGUCGAGCCCCCUCCCGCCGCGAUCUCCUUUUGGAGGCUAUUCAACUUCGCCGACGGCCUCGGCUGGGCACUCAUGGACGCUGGCACAGUCGCCGCCGCCGCCCACGACGCAGCAUUCAUAGUCUACCUGCACUAA
rnacentral:rRNA from 1 species